GGGCAAUAACUGCUUGAUCCAAGGAUAAAUCUGACUGCCAUUCUGGGGUCAAGAAGGAAUUUUUACCUAGCUUGUUGCAAAAGUGUGCCUUAAACUGGAUUUUUUGCCUUCUUUUGGAUCAACAGCAAAAAACAAAUGUGAGGAAGGCUGAACUUAAUAUUUUGUCUGUUGUAUUUUCCUUUAUUCUGUAUAUGUUAUCAGUCAAAAAAGUAAUGAACAAUGUGAUAUCUACAAAGCUUGCUAUGUGUAAUGCAAUAUUCAUAACCGUCUUAUUUGUGAUCAGAUACUUGACAAAAAACAAAACAAAUAAAACGUUGAAACUAGAUUGUCAGUUCCACGGGAAACAGGAUCCUUUACUCCUCCUAGAUUUGUCAAAUUUUGUAUUGUC